GUGUCUGUUGAGGAUGAGGCAUCUCCCUCGGGAUUGUAACCUUGAACUAUUUGAUCUAAAACAGGUCGUCUCCUUAUUUUUGCUGGAGGUUCUUCAUUCUCUCCUGUUCGUCUCCUCCUUCUUCCUCCAUCAACGAGAUCAUUAACAUGAUCCAUUUCUCCUGCCGGAACUCAUGUCUUGGACUUGGCUAUAUAGGAGGGAUUAGUCCUAUCUGCUGCAUUGUUUGGUUCAACUAAGCAUUCAUCUGAGACAUUUGAAGGGACAUUAUUUGAAGAUCAUUGUUGGUUGGAGUAUGGUGAUGAGGGUUAGAGGAGGACGUAGCAUUUAGAUUGUUGACAGAUGUUGUCCCAAAUAAGGAGGCCCAAAUAUUAGGAAUGGCAGAUAAGGGCUGGGUUGGUGGGGGAAUGUCUAUAGGGUUGGUAUUUUGGCCAAUAGCGGUUAGGUUGGGAGAGCGGUUUUCUUCAUUGGCCAUGUGGAUCUCAAUGAGUGUAUAGUAAAUGAAUUUUAGGAUUAAGGAACUUUAGCGAGAAUUGCUUCGUUCUCACAGACGACACCAAUUGAUAACUAAGGAUUCAAACGGUGUCUGAAAUGGUGACAUGUGGUUGAGAUGGUUUCGGGGUUAUUCGGGUUCAUACAACUACUUAUUUAUGGCAUCAUGCUACUACGACUACUUCCAAGAAGUUCUAGGGAGAGUAAUUUUAAUGGGUCAUGGUGUAGUCGAGGAAAAUCUGUUCUCUCAUUAUGGAAGGGUCUUUAUUUUUAGAACAAUUGAGCCAAUGUCUGUUAGGCAUGUGUAAAGACUUGCUUCGUUCCCAUAAAAGGCACCAAUUGAUAACUAAGGAUUCA
rnacentral:misc_RNA from 1 species